GGUGUUUCUUGCAUGGAAGAUCAGAUGAUGAAGUGCUGUCAUCUUGGAACAAGUCAUUGCUGUAUAUCUCCACAGCUUUGCCUCUCUCUUUCAUAGCUUCCCAAAACUUCAAGAAAAGAAAAGAAAAGAUUACUACUUGGGUUUUGAAGACCAGAUUCUCAAAGAAAUAAGAUGCAGAAGGAUCCAAUUAAAUAGCUAAGCAAUGAACAUAAACGAUCAAAUGUUGUUUUCAGAAAACCGAAAAAAA
rnacentral:misc_RNA from 1 species